rnacentral:rRNA from 1 species
CAGCCGCCGCGGGAAUACGAAGGGUGCAAGCGUUAAUCGGAAUUACUGGGCGUAAAGCGUGCGUAGGCGGUGAGUUAAGUCUGCUGUGAAAGCCCUGGGCUCAACCUGGGAAUUGCAGUGGAUACUGGGCGACUAGAGUAAGGUAGAGGAUAGUGGAAUUUCCGGUGUAGCAGUGAAAUGCGUAGAGACCGGAAGGAACAUCUGUGGCGAAGGCGACUAUCUGGGCCAUUACUGACACUGAGGCACGAAAGCGUGGGGAGCAAACAGGAUUAGAUACCCGCGUAGUCCCUGUCUCUUAUAA